rnacentral:rRNA from 1 species
CUACCAUGCAGUCGAGCGAGAAGUCGGAAGUGAAACUUCGGUGAAGCUGAAGAUGGAAAGCGGCAGACGGGUGAGUAACGCGUGAAUAAUCAACCCUGUACAAAGGGAUAGCCUCGGGAAACCGGGAUUAAUACCAUAUGAAGUAUAUUAAUCGCAUGAUAGAUAUAUUAAAACUUUGGUGGUACAGGACGAGUUCGCGUCCCAUUAGCUAGUUGGUGAGAUAAAAGCUUACCAAGGCGACGAUGGGUAGCCGGCCUGAGAGGGUGAACGGCUACACUGGAACUGAGACACGGUCCAGACUCCUACGGGAGGCAGCAGUGGGGAAUAUUGCACAAUGGAGGAAACUCUGAUGCAGCGACGCCGCGUGAGCGAAGAAGGCUUUCGAGUCGUAAAGCUCUGUCCUAAGAGAAGAAGAAGUGACGGUAACUUAGGAGGAAGCCCCGGCUAACUACGUGCCAGCAGCCGCGGUAAUACGUAGGGGGCUAGCGUUGUCCGGAAUUACUGGGCGUAAAGGGUGAGUAGGUGGUCAUUAAAGUCAGAUGUAAAAGGCAAUGGCUCAACCAUUGUAAGCAUUUGAAACUUAAUGACUUGAGUGCAGGAGAGGUAAAUGGAAUUCCUAGUGUAGCGGUGAAAUGCGUAGAUAUUAGGAAGAACACCAGUGGCGAAGGCGAUUUACUGGACUGUAACUGACACUGAGUCACGAAAGCGUGGGGAGCGAACAGGAUUAGAUACCCUGGUAGUCCACGCUGUAAACGAUGAGUGCUAGGUGUCGGCAAGAGAUUGUCGGUGCCGCAGUUAACGCAUUAAGCACUCCGCCUGGGGAGUACGAUCGCAAGAUUGAAACUCAAAGGAAUUGACGGGGACCCGCACAAGCAGCGGAGCAUGUGGUUUAAUUCGAAGCAACGCGAAGAACCUUACCAAGACUUGACAUCCUCUUGACAGGUGUAGAAGUACACCCUCUCUUCGGAGCAAGAGUGACAGGUGGUGCAUGGUUGUCGUCAGCUCGUGUCGUGAGAUGUUGGGUUAAGUCCCGCAACGAGCGCAACCCUUAUCAUUAGUUGCCAUCAUUAAGUUGGGAACUCUAAUGAGACUGCCGGUGAUAAACCGGAGGAAGGUGGGGAUGACGUCAAAUCAUCAUGCCCCUUAUGUCUUGGGCUACACACGUGCUACAAUGGUCGGUACAACGGGAAGCUAAGGAGUGAUCUGGAGCUAACCCCAAUAAGCCGAUCCCAGUUCGGAUUGCAGGCUGCAACUCGCCUGCAUGAAGUUGGAGUUGCUAGUAAUCGCGAAUCAGAAUGUCGCGGUGAAUGCGUUCCCGGGUCUUGUACACACCGCCCGUCACACCACGGGAGUUGGUAAUACCCGAAGCCGUCGAGCUAACGUAAGAGGCAGACGUCGAAGU